AAUCACAGUUGAAAGACAAUCCUGCUUUUUCAAUGCUGAAUGAUUCAGAUGAUGAUGUGAUUUAUGGGAGUGACUAUGAAGAAAUGCCACUUCAGAAUGGCCAAGCUAUUAGAGCCAAGUAUAAAGAGGAAUCGGACAGUGAUUGAUUUUGCUGUAGACAGACUUGUUCAGGUGGAAUUACACCAAUCAGGUGGGAUUACACCAAUCCUGAAGUUUUCCUAGAUGUACAACUUCCUUGGCUUUCUUAGUCUGCUGACAUCUCAACACCGACUCCCAGGAAGGACAUCCUGCUUCUGUUUCUGUUUACAAAGUUAAAACUGAAAAAAACCCCAAUGCUUGAAAAGGUUGUGGUGAAAACAUAAGAAACCAAAAUUUUUAUGCAUCUUAUAAAAUGCCUGAUAGAAGGAUGUCUAUGGACUAAAAUCUUGAAACCUAUUUCCAUUUAGAAGUAUCACUGAUUAUAUGCUGAUUUUAAAAUUGCUUCCUUGGUUUUCUGGUGGGUUGUUCUGAGGGUUAUGUCCAGCAUAUUGUCAUUCAUCUGUUGCAUUUGUGUUAGCUCCUUUGUGGAUUGCCCACUGCUGUACCAAGUGCCUCAUUUCCCUUUCAAUUUUCUACCUUAGUCUAUUGAGCUGGAAGCAGGGAAUGAAAUGGUUUAUGGUUUUCUCUCUCUCUUUCCUUUUUUUUUUUUUUAAAUGCAAGAAAAACACAAACUUUCCAUUCUUCAUUCAAAGAAGUGAUACAGACUUAAGAAUAUUUUAAAAUUCAUUUAAGUUUACCAGAUUUGUUAGUGUGAGAUACGUGCAAAUAGUCAAGUUCUAGUGAGCCAAAAUAGCCUCAGUGGUGCAAAAUGAUCUGUAUAAUACAUGUUUCAUAACAUGCUUUACCGCCACAACAGAAGCCUUUGGGUUUGUUUUGCCUUUUUUUUUUUUUUAAACAGCCCUUUUAAAUAGAAAUAUUUAGGCAACAACAAACCUCAGAAGGAAGCCAGUACUCUUCUUUCUGGGCUUUUGUGUGCUGGAGGAGAUUGUUACACUUGCAGAGAAUACAGUGUGAAAGUUUCACAGAGAUUAAUUUAAAAUUUCCAAACAUUUCAUUUUUAGAGGCUUUUUCUACAUCAGAUUUUUUUCUUAAGGUGUAUUAAUAGUUAUUCUACAUCCUAGGAACAGUUGUUCAUGUAUUGAACAUGUGUGAGAGUUGGCUUUUGGGCAUGUUCUAGCCAUGG
rnacentral:lncRNA from 1 species